rnacentral:rRNA from 1 species
GACGAACGCUGGCGGCGUGCUUAACACAUGCAAGUCGAACGGAAAGGCCCUGCUUUUGUGGGGUGCUCGAGUGGCGAACGGGUGAGUAACACGUGAGUAACCUGCCCUUGACUUUGGGAUAACUUCAGGAAACUGGGGCUAAUACCGGAUAGGAGCUCCUGCUGCAUGGUGGGGGUUGGAAAGUUUCGGCGGUUGGGGAUGGACGCGCGGCUUAUCAGCUUGUUGGUGGGGUAGUGGCUUACCAAGGCUUUGACGGGUAGCCGGCCUGAGAGGGUGACAGGCCACAUUGGGACUGAGAUACGGCCCAGACUCCUACGGGAGGCAGCAGUGGGGAAUAUUGCACAAUGGGCGGAAGCCUGAUGCAGCAACGCCGCGUGCGGGAUGACGGCCUUCGGGUUGUAAACCGCUUUCGCCUGUGACGAAGCGUGAGUGACGGUAAUGGGUAAAGAAGCACCGGCUAACUACGUG